AGUGAACGCUGGCGGUAGGCCUAACACAUGCAAGUCGAACGGCAGCACAGUAAGAGCUUGCUCUUACGGGUGGCGAGUGGCGGACGGGUGAGGAAUACAUCGGAAUCUACUUUUUCGUGGGGGAUAACGUAGGGAAACUUACGCUAAUACCGCAUACGACCUACGGGUGAAAGCAGGGGAUCUUCGGACCUUGCGCGAUUGAAUGAGCCGAUGUCGGAUUAGCUAGUUGGCGGGGUAAAGGCCCACCAAGGCGACGAUCCGUAGCUGGUCUGAGAGGAUGAUCAGCCACACUGGAACUGAGACACGGUCCAGACUCCUACGGGAGGCAGCAGUGGGGAAUAUUGGACAAUGGGCGCAAGCCUGAUCCAGCCAUACCGCGUGGGUGAAGAAGGCCUUCGGGUUGUAAAGCCCUUUGUUGGGAAAGAAAAGCAGCAGGUUAAUACCCUGCUGUUCUGACGGUACCCAAAGAAUAAGCACCGGCUAACUUCGUG
rnacentral:rRNA from 1 species